AGAGGGCAGGUUUAGAUUAGAUAUUAGGAAGAAUUUCUUUACUAUGAGAGUGGUGAGGUACCAGAACAGGUUGCCACGAGAAGUUGUGGAUCCUUUGUCCCUGG